GCUGGCGGCAGGCCUAACACAUGCAAGUCGAACGGAGUUAUAUUGUAGCUUGCUAUGGUAUAACUUAGUGGCAGACGGGUGAGUAAUGUAUAGGAAUCUACCUAGUAGUACGGAAUAAUUGUUGGAAACGGCAACUAAUACCGUAUACGCCCUACGGGGGAAAAAUUUAUUGCUAUUAGAUGAGCCUAUAUUAGAUUAGCUAGUUGGUGGAGUAAUAGCCUACCAAGGCAAUGAUCUAUAGCUGAUCUGAGAGGAUGAUCAGCCACACUGGAACUGAGAUACGGUCCAGACUCCUACGGGAGGCAGCAGUGGGGAAUAUUGGACAAUGGGCGAAAGCCUGAUCCAGCCAUGCCGCAUGAGUGAAGAAGGCCUUUGGGUUGUAAAGCUCUUUUAGUGAGGAAGAUAAUGACGGUACUCACAGAAGAAGUCCUGGCUAACUCCGUGCCAGCAGCCGCGGUAAUACGGAGAGGGCUAGCGUUAUUCGGAAUUAUUGGGCGUAAAGGGCGCGUAGGCGGAUUAGUAAGUUAAAAGUGAAAUCCCAAGGCUCAACCUUGGAAUUGCUUUUAAAACUGCUAAUCUAGAGAUUGAAAGAGGAUAGAGGAAUUCCUAGUGUAGAGGUGAAAUUCGUAAAUAUUAGGAGGAACACCAGUGGCGAAGGCGUCUAUCUGGUUCAAAUCUGACGCUGAGGCGCGAAGGCGUGGGGAGCAAACAGGAUUAGAUACCCUGGUAGUCCACGCUGUAAACGAUGAAUGUUAAAUAUGGGAAGUUU
rnacentral:rRNA from 1 species